rnacentral:rRNA from 1 species
GACGAACGCUGGCGGCGUGCCUAAUACAUGCAAGUCGAACGAGAGCGACCGGUGCUUGCACUGGUCAAUCUAGUGGCGAACGGGUGAGUAACACGUGGGUAACCUGCCCAUCAGAGGGGGAUAACAUCCGGAAACGGAUGCUAAAACCGCAUAGGUCUUCGAGCCGCAUGGCUUGAAGAGGAAAAGAGGCGCAAGCUUCUGCUGAUGGAUGGACCCGCGGUGCAUUAGCUAGUUGGUGAGGUAACGGCUCACCAAGGCCGUGAUGCAUAGCCGACCUGAGAGGGUGAUCGGCCACAUUGGGACUGAGACACGGCCCAAACUCCUACGGGAGGCAGCAGUAGGGAAUCUUCCGCAAUGGACGCAAGUCUGACGGAGCAACGCCGCGUAAGUGAAGAAGGUUUUCGGAUCGUAAAACUCUGUUGUUAGAGAAGAACGAGUGCUAGAGUAACUGUUAGCGCCUUGACGGUAUCUAACCAGAAAGCCACGGCUAACUACGUG